UUGUAAUAAAGGGCCUUGUUCUUGGCUGAGAAUUUCACAUCCAAUAAAUCAAACCGAUGACCAACAAUAUGGUGGAAAAGCAGAACCAAACAAUAAAAUUACACUUCAAAAUCCAAGGAUUUCAGAACUCAAAGGGACCUCAGAGACGACAGAGUUGCAGAGGAUGCAGCAGGUGAGUCCUGUAGACAUCAGAGGGGCUUCGACGCUGCACAGCUGCCACUCAGAGGGGACACUGCUGGCCUCGAUCACAUCAUGGAGACCACAAGGAUGCUGGGAAUGCACUUCCCAUUGGCCGAGCUGAG
rnacentral:lncRNA from 1 species